UUUUAGCCUUCUUUUUGGAGGCAGUACACAGUUUCGGCUGUUUAGUUUCGAAUUGGCCAGGGUGGAAUUUACAAAUAAGAGACAGUUUUGAAAUUGAAGUGGAUAUUUGAGGUGUGUGAUUACAGACUUGUGUGUGAGGUUUUGAUUGUGGCGCAGUCAGUUGUUUGCCGAGAAGCCUUGAAAACUGUGUAUUGCCCCCUUAAGAGCAAAAUUUGAUUUUUUGUGUGUGAUUACAGACUUGUGUGUGAGGUUUUGAUUGUGGCGCAGUCAGUUGUUUGCCGAGAAGCCUUGAAAACUGUGUAUUGCCCCCUUUGCCCCAACAAUUUU